GACGAACCGUGCGAACGUUAUUCGGAAUCACUGGGCUUAAAGCGCGUGUAGGCGGCCCGGCACGUCCGUCGCUGAAAGCCCCCGGCUCAACCGGGGAACGGGCGCGGAUACGACCGGGCUGGAGGGGGGUAGGGGGCGCCGGAACGGCCGGUGGAGCGGUGAAAUGCGCAGAUAUCAGGAGGAACACCGGUGGCGAAGGCGGGAUCCUGGGCCAGUACUGACGCUGAGGAGCGAAAGCGUGGGGAGCAAACAGG
rnacentral:rRNA from 1 species